rnacentral:rRNA from 1 species
CCUACGGGGGACAGCAGUGAGGAAUAUUGGUCAAUGGACGCAAGUCUGAACCAGCCAUGCCGCGUGCAGGAAGACGGCUCUAUGAGUUGUAAACUGCUUUUGUACGAGGGUAAACGCAGAUACGCGUAUCUGUCUGAAAGUAUCGUACGAAUAAGGAUCGGCUAACUCCGUGCCAGCCGCCGCGGUAAUACGGAGGAUUCAAGCGUUAUCCGGAUUUAUUGGUUUUAAAGGGUGCGUAGGCGGUCGGAUAAGUUAGAGGUGAAAUCCCGAGGCUCAACUUCGGAAUUGCCUCUGAUACUGUUCGGCUAGAGAGUAGUUGCGGUAGGCGGAAUGUAUGGUGUAGCGGUGAAAUGCUUAGAGAUCAUACAGAACACCGAUUGCGAAGGCAGCUUACCAAGCUACUUCUGACGUUGAGGCACGAAAGCGUGGGGAGCAAACAGGAUUAGAUACCCGAGUAGUC